GGUUGUGGCUCAGUGGUAGAAUGCUUCCCUAACAUGUGUGAGGCACUGGGUUCAAUCCUCAGCACCA
rnacentral:tRNA from 1 species